AUGGGAGCAUCCCCGCGGCAGCCUCGCUGGGGCUCUCCGGUCCUCUGCCUUUGCUGUCCUGGUGCCGGAUGGGCAAUGUCGGACUUGCUCCUCGUGGCCGGCCAGAGGAUGCUCACAGGGGCUGCACCAACCUGCCUCGAGCCUCUCUGCUUUCCUCUGCCCUCUCCUCUCUCGCUGUCCUCCCGCAGCAUGCGUGGCGCCGCUCCGCACUGUGCCGGGGGCUGGAAACCCCUGUGCCGGGGAGCUCGGCUGGAUUGGGAGCGAUCCGCCUGGCAAACCCAGAUUUGGGACUCCCUGAUAAAGCCUCAGCAAUGCUCCCACCUGGGGAAAGGGUGCACAGAGGACGGUCCUGAGGGGGCUCAGGAUGCGUGCAAGCAGGUGCCGGCACCGCAAAGCAGCGGCGUGCAAUGGUUACGGACCCCCGCUGUGGGCGCAGGCGAUGGCCACCAGCAGCCGUGCACCUGCAGGGCAGCGCGCUGGCGGCCGCGUGUUGAUGCAGGCGGUGCAAGGGGUAUCGGGACGUGCCAGCUCCGUGCAAAGCGCGGGGCAGUUCUGCAGAGACCCGCGGGGCUCCUGCUGUACCCCGCCAUCCCCUGGCACCUCUGUGCCAGUGCUGGUGCCCUGGGCACACCGUGCCCGGGGGCAGCGGGAGGGGAAGGACCCCCGUUGCCUGUGCAGGAAGCUUUUCCCACGUGGCAAUCUGCCGUGCCCGGCCCCGAUGAACCAGGGGGCUGCAGCUGGUGCAAGAGCUGCAGAGCCCUCCCAGCCUGGUCUCUGGUGGAGCACGUCUGGGGCAUGCGGGUUUGGCUUCUCCAGGCUGGCACCGCCCGGCUGGCAUCCGUGUGUCCGUCUGCUUGCCGGGAGCAUGUUUGUGGUCCGUACGUGGCCCCGUGGCCGCAGAGAGCGUUGGGUCCGUCCCCAGGCAGAGCGCGGCUCCCGUGCGGGUCUGUGGCUCACCCAGGAACCUGCUUUCCCUCCGCAGCCCAAGGUGAGCUUGGAGCAGAGCAAGAAGGACGGGCCCCGGCCGGCUGCCCCCGGCUCCCCCGCCGAGGGGCCGCUGCUGCAGAGCCGGCAGGAGCAGGAGGCGGAGAAGCAAGCGGCUCUCAACAAAGUGGGCAUCGUCCCCCCCAGAACCAAGUCUCCGGCGGAGGAGGAGGUGGCGCCGGCGGCAGGCGUGGUGCGGAGGAACGCCGGCGGCAUGGCCAACGGGCUCGGCUCCCGGGAGAGGCCGAAGAGCGCUGUGUUCGCCACCGAGACGAAGGCGAAAAUGAGCGUGGAGGAGCAGAUCGACCGCAUGAAACGGCACCAGAGCGGCUCCAUGAAGGAGAAGCGGCGGAGCCUGCAGCUCCCGGGCAGCCAGCAGCCCGAGACCCCCGGCACCAGGGCACCGGCCUCCUACAAGGUGGUGCGCCGGCACCGCAGCAUCCACGAGGUGGACAUCUCCGACCUGGAGGCCGCGCUGCGCUCCGAGGACUCGGGCAAAGUCUACGAGACGCCCCGGGAGGAGAUCGCCCGGCUGCGCAAGAUGGAGCUGGAGCCGCAGCAUUACGACGUCGACAUCCAUAAGGAGCUCUCAACGCCGGACAAAGUCCUCAUCCCCGAGCGGUACAUCGAACUGGAGCCCGACACCCCCCUCAGUCCCGAAGAGAUGAAGGAAAAGCAGAAGAAGGUGGAAAGGAUAAAAACCCUCAUUGCCAAAUCCAGGUGAGGCCGCUGGGCCCGUGCCCGUCCUGGCUGUCACCGGGGCAUCCCUGCGACCACCGCGCCGCCCGUUCCCCCUCCGUCCUCCGCUCUGUCCCUCCCUCUGCUCGGCUCCGCUCUGCUCCACCGCCACGCUCGCGUGAUCCAGGCGCCCUCCUGGACCCGCGCCGGGCGGUGACGCCGACGCUCUCCCGCAGCCUGCAGAACGUGAUCCCGCUGAGCGAGGGCGAGGUGGACGCCCCCCAGGACCCGGAGACCCAGCUGCAGGAGCAGGAGAAGAGGAUCGAGAUCUCCUGCACCCUGGCUGCGGAGGCCUCCCGCCGGGGCCGCAUGCUCUCGG
ensembl:lncRNA